UUCGCUGACGAGUGGCGGACGGGUGAGUAAUGUCUGGGAAACUGCCUGAUGGAGGGGGAUAACUACUGGAAACGGUGGCUAAUACCGCAUAACGUCGCAAGACCAAAGAGGGGGACCUUCGGGCCUCUUGCCAUCAGAUGUGCCCAGAUGGGAUUAGCUUGUUGGUGAGGUAACGGCUCACCAAGGCGACGAUCCCUAGCUGGUCUGAGAGGAUGACCAGCCACACUGGAACUGAGACACGGUCCAGACUCCUACGGGAGGCAGCAGUGGGGAAUAUUGCACAAUGGGCGCAAGCCUGAUGCAGCCAUGCCGCGUGUAUGAAGAAGGCCUUCGGGUUGUAAAGUACUUUCAGCGGGGAGGAAGGUGUUGCGGUUAAUAACCGCAGCAAUUGACGUUACCCGCAGAAGAAGCACCGGCUAACUCCGUGCCAGCAGCCGCGGUAAUACGGAGGGUGCAAGCGUUAAUCGGAAUUACUGGGCGUAAAGCGCACGCAGGCGGUCUGUCAAGUCGGAUGUGAAAUCCCCGGGCUCAACCUGGGAACUGCAUUCGAAACUGGCAGGCUUGAGUCUUGUAGAGGGGGGUAGAAUUCCAGGUGUAGCGGUGAAAUGCGUAGAGAUCUGGAGGAAUACCGGUGGCGAAGGCGGCCCCCUGGACAAAGACUGACGCUCAGGUGCGAAAGCGUGGGGAGCAAACAGGAUUAGAUACCCUGGUAGUCCACGCCGUAAACGAUGUCUACUUGGAGGUUGUGCCCUUGAGGCGUGGCUUCCGGAGCUAACGCGUUAAGUAGACCGCCUGGGGAGUACGGCCGCAAGGUUAAAACUCAAAUGAAUUGACGGGGGCCCGCACAAGCGGUGGAGCAUGUGGUUUAAUUCGAUGCAACGCGAAGAACCUUACCUGGUCUUGACAUCCACGGAAGUUUUCAGAGAUGAGAAUGUGCCUUCGGGAACCGUGAGACAGGUGCUGCAUGGCUGUCGUCAGCUCGUGUUGUGAAAUGUUGGGUUAAGUCCCGCAACGAGCGCAACCCUUAUCCUUUGUUGCCAGCGAUUAGGUCGGGAACUCAAAGGAGACUGCCAGUGAUAAACUGGAGGAAGGUGGGGAUGACGUCAAGUCAUCAUGGCCCUUACGACCAGGGCUACACACGUGCUACAAUGGCGCAUACAAAGAGAAGCGACCUCGCGAGAGCAAGCGGACCUCAUAAAGUGCGUCGUAGUCCGGAUUGGAGUCUGCAACUCGACUCCAUGAAGUCGGAAUCGCUAGUAAUCGUGGAUCAGAAUGCCACGGUGAAUACGUUCCCGGGCCUUGUACACACCGCCCGUCACACCAUGGGAGUGGGUUGCAAAAGAAGUAGGUAGCUUAACCUUCGGGAGGGCGCUUACCACUUUGUGAUUCAUGACUGGGGUGAAGUCGUAACAAGGUAACCGUAGGGGAACCUGCGGUUGGA
rnacentral:rRNA from 1 species